rnacentral:sRNA from 1 species
AGUCAAAAGGUCUAAGCCCACAUGAGCUUGCUCAUAAGUGGGUGAAAGACCUUGGGACCCGCCCCGAUAUGAGCAUAAAAGUGGGAUGUAUAUCCCACGAUAUGCGAAUAUUGGGUGGGAUUGUGAGAGUGCGCAGCACGGAACAAUCUGUAGGCAU